rnacentral:piRNA from 1 species
UGAUCUUAAAGACAGAGCCAACGAUAC